rnacentral:lncRNA from 1 species
CUCAACCUACUUUGAAUGAAUCCAGCGUUAAAAAAAAAAAAAACUUACCAUAUUUCACACAUAUACACUACCAUAUUUAAACAAAAUCAUUGCUAAUUAGUAUAACUUGCCAAUAAAAUAUUUAGCAUAUAUAUUAGGCAUGAUUCACUUGUGUUUAAACCUUCCUUAUUAUAAACUUAUUAGAAUAAUGUCAUCCGUUUGUUUUAUAAAAAAUGAAUAUUCCAACAAUGUUAGCUUCAUAUUUUUCAUAUAAUAUUAACUUUAUUCCC